rnacentral:lncRNA from 1 species
UGAGAGAAGUAAUCACAUUUUGUCAGUAUAAAUUAUUGGUUCCUAGACACAGAAACAGUUUUCCUUUGUUUUUUCAGUUCUGGAGCAUGAACACAGAGUUUUUAGCAUGACAGGCAAAACACUCGACACCUGAGGCUUUGCUGUGUUACUGGGCAGGCCUGUGUGACAUGGCCCUCAGUAACCACACAAGGUCAAACACUGCAGGAUCAACUCUGGACCCUGCUCUCGUCAGAGAGGAAGGCAAACUAUGGGCAGUAACUGCCCUAUCACCCAGGCUUAGGUAAGUGUUGAUAG